UACGAAGGGGGCUAGCGUUGCUCGGAAUUACUGGGCGUAAAGGGCGCGUAGGCGGACAGCUUAGUCAGAGGUGAAAGCCCAGGGCUCAACCUUGGAAUUGCCUUUGAUACUGGCUGUCUUGAGUGCGGGAGAGGUGUGUGGAACUCCGAGUGUAGAGGUGAAAUUCGUAGAUAUUCGGAAGAACACCAGUGGCGAAGGCGACACACUGGCCCGUUACUGACGCUGAGGCGCGAAAGCGUGGGGAGCAAACAGG
rnacentral:rRNA from 1 species